GGAGAUUCUGAAGGCAUAACUAGAAUAGAAAUGACUUCUGCUAGUCAGUUACAAAGGAAAUUGUUCCCCUUCUGUCUUCAGUGAGUUGCAGAGUCACUGCUUUGCCAUCCAGGAGAUGGACAACAUAGUAGGUGUGUUUUUUGAAUGGCUUUUAUUAGAAAGCAAGAUGGUACCUAUUCUUGUGAUUGUGCUUCUCAUUGAGCAGUUCCAAAAUUUGCCUCAUCACUGGAAUCAGGAAGAUGCUUUAAAAAGGACAGAGAGAUCUUUUGUCAAACUGAGACCUACUGAAUAGCACCAGGAGAAAUGUGGAGCAGAUGCAGACACAGGGAGAACUCUUUGUGAAGAUGAAGGCAGAGAUCAGGGUGAGGUUUCUACACACCAAGGAACUCCAGUGAUCACCAGCAGACCACCAGAAGCUGAGGAAGAGACGUGGGAGCAAUCUUCUCUGCACAGCCAGAAGGAACCAACCUUGCUGAUACCUUGGUCUUAGACAUCUGGCCUCCAGAACCAUG
ensembl:lncRNA